GGAUGCGACGUGUGUCAUCCAACCCUGUCCAAGCACCAGCUCGGGGGGAGGGAGGAAAUGGACAUAUAGAUAGGCCAAAUAAAUAAACACAGUGGGAAGGAGAAAAGGAAAUUCCCUUCUGUCUCUUUGCUCUUCUGGAGCAUCCUGCGCUGCGCAGUGUUGGCGACACCACCGGGGAGCAGUGCGCAUUUUCUGUCGAUCUGAGGAGAGGACCACAACAUCUGAAGUGGCACUACUGAGCCGAAACGGACAGAUCAGAGAGGAAGGAAACACCGGAAUCUGACAACCGAGAGGGGACAUUGCGGGGUUUUAAUGCACAGAAAGGCAGGUAGCCAAUUUUUUGGACAAUCAGAGUUUGCAACAUCGGCCUAUUUUUUAAAAAUAAAUUGCUGCGGGGUGAGAACAUAGCUUUCAUUGCCAGUUGUGUGUUACAUUACAUAACCGAGUGGCAUUAGCUGUCCAAGGUGCUGAACUGAACGGUCGGAGCCUUUAACGGGACGAGCCGAGGGGAAUUCACAACCUUGCAAGGUCAUAGGCCUACCAGCCGGAGAAGAGGAUCCGCUUACUGUACCACCGGGAAGCCGCCGGGUGAUAUUCAUACAAUUUUUUCAUCGUCCCGUGGUGAAAUACAUUCCUGAGGUGGUCGAUUCAACGGAGAGAAAAUGUCGGGGCAAACGCUCACGGAUCGCAUUGCCGCUGCGCAAUACCAGCUAACGGGAUCAGAUAUGGCCCGGGCUGUCUGCAAAGCCACCACUCACGAAGUGAUGGCGCCCAAGAAAAAGCACCUGGAGUACCUGGUGUCAGCCACCAAUACCACCAACGUGAACAUCCCGCAAAUGGCUGACACACUGUUUGAGCGAGCCACCAAUGCCAGCUGGGUGGUCGUCUUCAAGGCCCUCGUCACCAGUCAUCACAUGUGUGUCCACGGCAAUGAGAGGUUCAUUCAGUACUUGGCCUCCAGGACAUCCUUGUUCAACCUCAGUAAUUUUAUCGACAAAACCGGCUCUCACGGCUAUGACAUGUCUACAUUCAUCAGACGGUAUGGACGAUACCUGAACGAGAAAGCCUUCGCCUACCGCCAGAUGGCUUUUGAUUUCACCAGAGUCAAGAAGGGUGCUGAUGGUGUGAUGAGGACCAUGACCACUGAGAAGCUGUUGAAAGGCAUGCCUGUUCUGCAGACUCAGAUUGACACACUCCUGGAGUUCGAUGUUCAUCCCAAGGAGCUGAACAACGGGAUCAUCAAUGCUGCAUUUCUGCUUCUCUUCAAGGACCUGGUCAAACUGUUUGCAUCCUACAAUGACGGAAUCAUCAACUUAUUAGAGAAAUACUUCAAGAUGAAGAAGAGUGACUGUAAGGAGGCCUUGGAGAUCUACAAGAGGUUCCUGACCAGGGUGACAAAGAUUGGAGAAUUCAUGAAGCUGGCCGAGACAGUUGGAGUUGACAAAAAUGACAUCCCUGACAUCAACUACGCUCCCAGCAGUAUCCUGGAGAGUCUGGAAACACACAUGAACGGUCUGGAGGACACAAAGGGUGGAAAGAAGGGUGAAGGGUCUCCAACAAAGGGGUCUCCGACAAACAAUGUGUCCCCAACAUCAACCCCAGCCAAAUCUUCAAACGCUGUUCCCACACUGCAGCCUCCUCCUGGGGAGAGUGCUGCCGCUGCCGCUGCUCCUGAGCCAGCUGAAGAUUCCUUGUUGGACCUGGAUCCACUGUCUUCCUCGGGUCCCUCGGGACAAUCAGCUGCCCCCACGUCUUGGGGAGAUCUUCUUGGAUCAGAAAUGGGCGAUUCCUUGCUAUCUGAACCCACCCUCACGGCAGAGCCCGCCCCCUCCUCUGCAGCAGCAACGCCCACUCCUGCAGCGGCAGAACCCGGAGUCUCUCUAGCUCCUCCCACUAGUACAGCAGCCGCCACCUCUCCUGGCGCCGCCAAUAUGGAUCUGUUGGGAGAUGCCUUUGCAACACCUGCUCCUGCCACUGAGGCCUCUGCCACCGCAGCUGAAGGUGGGGCUACCGCCACGUCCACCCCAGCCGCCAACACUGGAGCUGAGUCCACAGGAGGAGAUGCCACAGCUGCUGCUGCUCCUGCUGCCCCCGGUGCUGAGCUUAUGUCAGUAUUUGAUGGACUAGGAGAUGUAAUGAAGCCCACUGUCACCCCUCAGACGGGUGAUGUUGACACCUCCAUGGCUAAAAUGGCAAGUAAUCUCACAAUGGGAACCGCAGCGGCCCCUCAGGUAGCUCCCCCCAGUUGGGGUGCUCCCAUGCCUGGACUCCCAUGAUGCCCAUGGCCAGACCAGGCUUCCCAGCCAGUGGAGCAACCCCCGGAGCACCGAUGUCUCCUGGAGUGGCCCAGAGCCCAAGAAAGCCUCCACCACCAAGGAAUGCUCUGGAUGACCUCAACAUCAAGGACUUCAUGUAGACUGGCUGACCUGUAAACCCCCAAGGUUUUGUCAUUGUGUCUGGAGCUCUGUGGAUGUGGAUGUCUGCACUUCCCCACUGCCUUCCCUUCAGUCAUGCCCCAUCCCUUGCAUCCAACCAGCCAUUACAUCUUUGAUCUUUGCCCUCUGACCUCCUACCAGCUGCGACCCCUAAUAAAACCUGCCCUCCUUAUCUAAUGUUGUAGCACAACUGUGAAUGUGAACCCUAGAUACAGAAAAACAAAAUUCAGUGUAUGUGUGUUUGGGUGUGCGUGUAAUUCAGUGUUAACCUUUACUUAAUAUACUAUGGAAAAAUGAACAAAAAAAAUUACUAAAUGUGUAUUUAGAUUCAUUCUGGAUCAGCUGACUUGAAAUGGUGGAUAUAUGUUGGUUUCUUUGCGCAUCUCCCAGACGAGGACUGUGUUGUUAAAUGUGGACUGUGUUCGGUGUAUGUAACUUCACUGCACCCCCACUCCUACUCCUCUACCCCAGUUGUCCAAACAAAUACUGAGCUAUGUUUAUGUCAUUAAAAACUUGGUUGUACCUAUAUCUGCUUGGCCAUCCAUCCUCCCACCUGUCUACUUUUUGUCUAAGUUUUUGGAGAACAAUUCUUGAUCAAAAUUGUACCUGAAAACAACUUUUACUGCAAAUCUGGAUCUAUCAUCGAACACAUCAUGCUGUGUUCAGUUUUCCUUUUUCCUUUCUUUUUUUUAGGGAUUGUAUGAAACAUGCAAAAAUUUGUGAACUGUUCAAAUUGACAUAUGCAUACUAGACUAUUUUAAAUGAUAGAUUAUACAUAUUUUCUUUAAUCUUUAUUUUGAGAGAAAAAAAAUGAUCAUAUAUUUUUAUUUACUUCUAAUGAUAUUGUUGGAAAAGAAAGGCAAGUAGACUAAAAAAAUUAUUUCUUUGUACAUAUCUCUCAAUCUUUAAUCAGAGGCAGUAUUGAUUGAAAACUGUGCCCUGAGUUUUUACUGUUGCGCCCUCUGCUGAUGUGGAGUGAUACUGCAUCGUAGCGUGCAACACAGGUCGAUCUGGGAUGCAUUCUAAAACUCUCAGAGAGCUCCUCUCCUUGUCUCAGUCUCCACACAAGAUGACUUAAUGUUAGGGUGAAAAGAGACAAGGAAGCAUUUGUGUAUGUGAUUGGAAUGUGGCCUUGGGUCAUUUGUGACAGAAAUACAUUUGGUCAUGUGCUGUCACUGGAAGUCUUGAGGACUCUCACUGUAAAGCACUCGAGUAUACGCUGGAUGUUCUGUGUUUUGUUUAUUUCCAAAUGUGACUGUAUCUUAAUCCAUUGUGGCAUUUACAAAAGUGUUGAGAGAAAAAUAAAGGUGACUACGACACAUAAAAACAAAAAGAAUGUGGAUAAAUAAUGUUUGCUAAGUAUUCAUAUGAAGGCUAUGUUGUUGUUUUUUGGAGGUUAUUAUGGAUGGCAUCGUCCUCCCUCCCUCGCCCCCCACCUGCAUGUGAGUCCAAAUGAGAUGCAAUAAAAGACAAAUACACUGAUCCAAA